rnacentral:rRNA from 1 species
ACGGAAGGCAGCAGUGGGGAAUAUUGGGCAAUGGGCGAAAGCCUGACCCAGCAACGCCGCGUGAAGGAAGAAGGUUUUCGGAUUGUAAACUUCUUUUAUCAGGGACGAAGAAAGUGACGGUACCUGAUGAAUAAGCCACGGCUAACUACGUGCCAGCAGCCGCGGUAAUACGUAGGUGGCAAGCGUUAUCCGGAUUUACUGGGUGUAAAGGGCGCGUAGGCGGGGAUGCAAGUCAGAUGUGAAAUCUAUGGGCUUAACCCAUAAACUGCAUUUGAAACUGUAUCUCUUGAGUGUCGGAGAGGUAGACGGGAUUCCUAGUGUAGCGGUGAAAUGCAUAGAUAUUAGGAGGAACACCAGUGGCGAAGGCGGUCUACUGGACGAUAACUGACGCUGAGGCGCGAAAGCGUGGGGAGCAAACAGGAUUAGAUACCCUGGUA